rnacentral:rRNA from 1 species
GACGAACGCUGGCGGCGUGCUUAACACAUGCAAGUCGAACGGAAAGGCCCUGCUUUUGUGGGGUGCUCGAGUGGCGAACGGGUGAGUAACACGUGAGUAACCUGCCCUUGACUUUGGGAUAACUUCAGGAAACUGGGGCUAAUACCGGAUAGGAGCUCCUGCUGCAUGGUGGGGGUUGGAAAGUUUCGGCGGUUGGGGAUGGACUCGCGGAUUAUCAGCUUGUUGGUGGGGUAGUGGCUUACCAAGGCUUUGACGGGUAGCCGGCCUGAGAGGGUGACCGGCCACAUUGGGACUGAGAUACGGCCCAGACGCCUACGGGAGGAAGCAGUGGGGAAUAUUGCACAAUGGGCGGAAGCCUGAUGCAGCAACGCCGAGUGCGGGAUGACGGCCUUCGGGUUGUAAACCGCUUUCGCCUGUGACGAAGCGUGAGUGACGGUAAUGGGGAAAGAAGCACCGGCUAACUACGU